rnacentral:rRNA from 1 species
AUGGCCUCGUCCUGGGCGGCGGCGAUGAGCGUGGGCGCGGGCACGGUGGAGGCGCUCAAGGAGCGGCACGCCGGGCUGUGCCGCUGGAACUACCGCGCCCUCCCGUGCGUCCAGCAGCGCGCUGGUACCGCGGCCGCCGGGAACGGCAAGACCAUGGCGGCGGCCUCUACCGGCGGGGCGGCGGCCUCUGCCGGCGGGGCGGCGGCGAGGAGGAGGAAGGCGAGGCAGGAGCAGGAGGAGGAGCUCCGGACAGUCAUGUACCUCAGCAACUGGGGACCAAACAACUAA